rnacentral:lncRNA from 1 species
CUUAUUGAUGUUUAAUUGAUGGGAUGGCAUUGUUCCAAAUAGCCUUUUCUUCUUUCCACCCAGUUAUUUUUAAAAAACUAUAAAUAAACUAUAAAUACAUUCUACAGUAAACACCCUUUAAUGCAGAAUUUUUAAUACAAGUAUCCAAAUUUGUUUUACCUUUUAGGGCUGGUGUGGCAUUUAAUUUCUAAUCGCAAUAAAGGACAAAUUAAAUGUCUUAUGAAUUAAGUUGAUGAAAGUCUAAACACAUACAAAUAGAUAACUCCUUGAUCUUCGGGUUGCUAGACUGCAAUGUUAAUAGAUAGCAUUCAAAAUUAAAAGAAAGCACCCGUAUGCAACGUUCACCAAAUCGAUACCGGAGGGUGUAUCAGCCAGCGACUGGUUUGGCAUGAUCAAGGUAUGUACCAUGCCAUUCGGGGCGUAUUAAAAUAGGGAGAGCCAGAGAGGAAGGGGGAGAGGAAAACGAGGAGAGGGAAAGAGAGGAAAAAGAGAGAGAGAGAGGAGCGAGAGGGAGACAGACAAG